rnacentral:rRNA from 1 species
AGAGUUUGAUCAUGGCUCAGGAUGAACGCUGGCGGCGUGCCUAAUACAUGCAAGUCGAACGAGGCCCUUUGUAUUCGUACGAAGGUGUCCUAGUGGCGAACGGGUGAGUAACACGUAGGUGACCUACCCCGAAGCGGGGGACAACUCCGGGAAACUGGAGCUAAUACCCCAUGUUCUCCAUGGUGUUAGAGGACCAUGGAGCAAAGGAGCAAUCCGCUUUGGGAGGGGCCUGCGGCCCAUCAGCUAGUUGGUAGGGUAAUGGCCUACCAAGGCUAUGACGGGUAGGGGACCUGAGAGGGUGGUCCCCCACACUGGAACUGAAACACGGACCAGACACCUACGGGUGGCAGCAGUAGGGAAUAUUGCACAAUGGGCGAAAGCCUGAUGCAGCAACACCGCGUGCGCGAUGAAGGCCUUCGGGUUGUAAAGCGCUUUUCUGGGGGAAGAGGAAGGACGG